GAUGCAGAGGACAAGCUCGAGGAUGGCGAUUCAGAGGAGCAGGGAGAUACAAGAAGAAAUAAUGCAAGAUGAGUCAUUUUGUUCAUUACGAUAAAUCUACGAAGUGGAAGAAAAUGAGCAUGCCACUAAUAUUUCGAUCUUUUGAGGGGUAAUCCUGUGGUCGUUGUACACAAAUGGGAGUCUAGGAGUGAACUAAUCUUUUGUUCAAAGUGUGACUGGACACUUCAAUUUUUGUCGCAUGUUCGCCUAAUGGGAUGUUCCCUGACCAGUUACUUUGCUGGGUUGCAGCCAAGAUCUCAAGCAUGAAGUUCAUUUACUAUAAAGCUGGGCUAGGUUUCCCCACUUAUUGCCGCAACUUCACAUUGGACAUCACAAGGAUGGGUGAAGCCACGAAUCCUGAUUGAAGACCGGAAGAUGAUGAUGAUAACAAGAGCUCGAUGGAGGUAUGCAGUCCUAUUGAAGAUGGCCAAGUUCAGAUCCAAAGGCGAUGUAUUCCAUCCAGUGCCUGUGGCCGGGGAUCGCAUCCAGCCUGUGCGAUCUGUGUGGAGAACGCACCCUGCGGCCAACAAAAUCCUGUUAUAUAGGCAAUGGAAAAAGGCGGGAGGUGAGUCGCAGAAAGAAAAAUUGGUGCCAAUGUGGUUGUUCAGGAAAGGGCGGAGGCGGAGAUGGACAGUUGCGAUCUGUAUUUGUUAAUCGCGUUUGUGGAAAAACGACUAAUACUCGUUUUCCCACAAACCUGGAAUUCUGGGCCUUUGUGAAACGAGUUUCCUAUAUGCAUGGGUUAGUUGGAGGAGCCAAACAA